rnacentral:lncRNA from 1 species
CCCUGAGCCAACACAUAUGAGUUCUCCACCAUUAAAGACACACACAGAUGGUACUCAGUCAGCGCAGGGAUCAGGUACCGGGACAGUUCCUCAAACCACUCUUGCACAGGGGUUGUUGGCUGAGAUCAGCUCAGAGCGACAUGGUGUCAAGCAUAUGUUGAUUGAUCACUUUAAGAAGGACCAUGGAAUGAAAGUUGGAUCUACCAUGAGAUUUGCUAUUGAAGACUUGGUUUUUAAGCUCUUUGGAGAGGGACCUUCUGUAAGUAAGACUCCUACGCAUACACCUUCACCUGGUCCUUCUAUCACAGCUCCUACACACAAUAAGGUGAAAGAACAUAUACAGAGAGANAUGGAUGGCAUGGGCCUUGGAAACUGCAUGCAAAAUGCAGAGGACGAUGUCCCUACAGCAAGCAAGUCAAUCUCCCACGAUUCAGAUGUCGUAGCACAGAACACCAUGAGAUUAAACACACCUACGACUAGUACAAUGAGAUCAGAUGCACCCGCUUUUCGCCCGACAUUCAGUG